CUCUGAAAAAUUUCAAUCUCAAACCUCUUUACCCCUGAAGAAUUCCAAGCUCGAAUCCUUUACCCCUGAAGAAUUCCAAACUCAAAAUCCUUUACCCCUGAAGAAUUCCAAACUCAAAACACUUUACGCCUGAAGAAUUCCAAACUCAAAACACUCUACCCCUGAAGAAUUCCAAACUCAAAACACCCUACCCCUGAAGAAUUCCAAACUCAAAACACUUUACCCUUGAAGAAUUCCAAGCUCAAAAUCCUUUACCCCUGAAGAAUUCCAAACUCAAAACACUUUACGCCUGAAGAAUUCCAAACUCAAAAC
rnacentral:lncRNA from 1 species